rnacentral:rRNA from 1 species
UGCCAGCAGCCGCGGUAAUACGAAAGGGGCUAGCGUUGUUCGGAAUUACUGGGCGUAAAGCGCACGUAGGCGGUCUUGUAAGUUGGGGGUGAAAUCCCGGGGCUCAACCCCGGAACUGCCUCCAAAACUACAAAACUAGAGGAUGUGAGAGGAUAGUGGAAUUCCGAGUGUAGAGGUGAAAUUCGUAGAUAUUCGGAGGAACACCAGUGGCGAAGGCGACUUCCUGGGCCAAUACUGACGCUGAGGUGCGAAAGCGUGGGGAGCAAACAGGAUUAGAUA